AAGCUGUGGUGUAUCAUUCUUUGGCAUCAGUGGACUGCUUCUAAGUUGUUUAGGAGGUUUCCUGAAUAAAUCAAGGACUAGAUGAUGUGGCAGGGUGGGAUGAGGGAACAGAGAAAGAAAAGUUAAGUGUAAUAAUGGAGUCCUGGCUUCUGAAAGGUUUCUUUCUCCCUGCUCAUGAAGAAUUAUCUUCCCUCCUGUCCCUGCAUUGACUCCACGAAUUCGGCUUCCCAAUUAACAACUUAUUCUGCACCUGACACCUGAGCCACCCAAGGAGGAUGUCACUUAGCUACGCUCCAGUUACCUGCUCUCAACCACAGUCCAGAGGCAGAUGAUCCAUUUUCUGACCUAUCAUCAGAAGGGCAUAGUAGCUUAAUGCUAGGUCACAAUGCCUACCUCAUUCACCUCACUUUGUGCAUCACCACAGGAAGAAGGAAAAUUUAAAGUUUCAUAUGUGGAUUGCAUUAAACUCCUACUGGAAGCACUGGUCUAGAAUGUGAAGCGUGUGAAUGGAUGACUGUCCCUUCCAUGAUUGGCCAGCUCUUGGAGGAUGGAAUCCACAGAUUGCUGAUCAUUUGCUUCCUGUACAUUACUUUGAUGUAAAGGUAUUACAUGAAAGAAUACUUUUCAUGUAGUAAAUAAUCAA